rnacentral:rRNA from 1 species
UACGGGGGGGGGCAAGCGUUGUUCGGAAUUACUGGGCGUAAAGGGCUCGUAGGCGGCCAACUAAGUCGGGACGUGAAAUCCCUCGGCUUAACCGGGGAACUGCAUCCGAUACUGGAGGGCUUGAGUUUGGGAGAGGGAUGCGGAAUUCCAGGUGUAGCGGUGAAAUGCGUAGAUAUCUGGAGGAACACCGGUGGCGAAGGCGGCAUCCUGGACCAACACUGACGCUGAGGAGCGAAAGCCAGGGGAGCAAACGGG